GGUGCCCGAGUGGCGAACGGGUGAGUAACACGUGAGUAACCUGCCCUUGACUUUGGGAUAACUUCAGGAAACUGGGGCUAAUACCGGAUAGGAGCUCCUGCUGCAUGGUGGGGGUUGGAAAGUUUCGGCGGUUGGGGAUGGACUCGCGGCUUAUCAGCUUGUUGGUGGGGUAGUGGCUUACCAAGGCUUUGACGGGUAGCCGGCCUGAGAGGGUGACCGGCCACAUUGGGACUGAGAUACGGCCCAG
rnacentral:rRNA from 1 species